AAAGUCCUAGCUUAAUUAAAGCACCUGAGUUGCAUUCAGGAGAUGUGGGGUAGAGUCCUGCGGAUUUUA
rnacentral:tRNA from 1 species